UACGUAGGGCGCAAGCGUUGUCCGGAAUUAUUGGGCGUAAAGAGCUCGUAGGCGGCUUGUCACGUCGGGUGUGAAAGCCCGGGGCUUAACCCCGGGUCUGCAUUCGAUACGGGCUGGCUAGAGUGUGGUAGGGGAGAUCGGAAUUCCUGGUGUAGCGGUGAAAUGCGCAGAUAUCGAGAGGAACACCUGCGGCGAAGGCGGGUUGCUGGGCUGACACUGACGCUGAGGCGCGAAAGCUAGGGGAGCGAACGGG
rnacentral:rRNA from 1 species